GAUGAACGCUGGCGGCGUGCCUAAUACAUGCAAGUCGAGCGAACAGACGAGGAGCUUGCUCCUCUGACGUUAGCGGCGGACGGGUGAGUAACACGUGGAUAACCUACCUAUAAGACUGGGAUAACUUCGGGAAACCGGAGCUAAUACCGGAUAAUAUAUUGAACCGCAUGGUUCAAUAGUGAAAGACGGUUUUGCUGUCACUUAUAGAUGGAUCCGCGCCGCAUUAGCUAGUUGGUAAGGUAACGGCUUACCAAGGCAACGAUGCGUAGCCGACCUGAGAGGGUGAUCGGCCACACUGGAACUGAGACACGGUCCAGACUCCUAAGGGAGGCAGCAGCAGGGAAUCUUCCGCAAUGGGCGAAAGCCUGACGGAGCAACGCCGCGUGAGUGAUGAAGGUCUUCGGAUCGUAAAACUCUGUUAUUAGGGAAGAACAAAUGUGUAAGUAACUAUGCACGUCUUGACGGUACCUAAUCAGAAAGCCACGGCUAACUACGUG
rnacentral:rRNA from 1 species